UACGUAGGGGGCAAGCGUUGUCCGGAUUUAUUGGGCGUAAAGAGCGCGUAGGCGGUCCGUUAAGUGUAGCGUGAAAGCUCCGGGCUCAACUCGGAAAUUGCUCUGCAUACUGGCGGACUCGAGGACGGAAGAGGUUUGUGGAAUUCCUGGUGUAGCGGUGAAAUGCGUAGAGAUCAGGAAGAACACCGGUGGCGAAGGCGCUCUGCUAGGCCGCAACUGACACUGAGGGACGAAAGCUAGGGGAGCGAAUGGG
rnacentral:rRNA from 1 species